AUUGCGGAGUCAAAACGCAUUCGUAAUGCGUAGGUCGGGGGUUCGAAUCCCUUCAUCA
rnacentral:tRNA from 1 species